CAUGGCUGAAGCCUGUAGCAGCUGUUACUUUCUGAGAUCCCUUGGAGAAAAAUUGCCUAGGGGACAUCUGUUCCCUUUCUACAACAGUGGGAAGAGUAAAAUCCAAGUCUCCUAAGGCGACGGGGGCUGCUGAGGGGUUGUGCUAUGAGUCAUCCUCACAUCAAGACGAAAGCUGCUGCAGCCACCAUCUGGAGGUCUGCUGCUUGCCCUGGCAGAGGCAAAGAGGACAUGCCACUCUGCUCACAUGCCAUUGGUCAAAACUGGUUCCUUUAAGACCACUAGAUCUCCCAAAGACUUCCUGAGAAGAGACCAGCUGUGGACAACAGGAUGGCAGACUGCGUGGGAGGAGUCAGAGUGGGCCUGCUCUCAUCAACAGAAGCUUGGAAGCUAGAAUAAUACCUUUAGACGAAGACCUAGGGUUUAGAAGACUGUUGGAUGGAGGUGACAGAAAUUUCCAAAAGGAAGUGGAUGAGAAUUAAGGCUGUGCGGCAGGUUCCAGAAGCAAGUGGCCCCAUCUGGAGCUGGGGAACGGCGGCCUCCAGCGGCUGAGGGUGGGUGCCUCUGGAGAGUGAGGAUCAGCAAUGAGGAGGCAGGGGCAGAGAGAUGCUCAUUUGCCUCAUAGGCCUUUUUGUGUUUUAAAAUAAUGUUUGUGUGCAUUCUUUUGUUAAAAUAAAAA